CUCACAGAGAUCCACCUGCCUCUGCCUCCCGAGUGCUGGGAUUAUAGGAGCGCGCCACCACUGCCCGGCUGGACCAGCUUUUUCCGAAGGGUAUCCCAAAAGAAGGAUGGCCGCAGAGAAGAGCGUGAGAACAGGCUGGUGUGGCCAGGUGCUUCAGCCUUCAUCUAUUUCUCUCAUAUUUCCCGGCCUCCACCGCUUCAACACUAGAGUGUGCAGCAGCAUGCUGGAAUCUCAUGUAAAAAGGUCAGAGCUGGAGAGAUGGCCCAGUGGUUAAGAACAUUGGCUGUUCUUCAGAAGACCAGGAUUCAAUUCCCAGCGCCCACCUGGCAGCUCACAACUGUCCAUAACUCCCAAGAUCCAACACACUCACGGAGACCAACUUGCAGGCAAAACAUCAAUGCACAUAAAAUAAAAAUAAAAAAUAUUGAAAACGAAUUCCCCAAUAUGGCAGGACAGGCCACGUCUGAGAACAUGUGGGAGGGGUACAGAGCUCUGGGUUUGGUUGAGAGAUCCUGACUCCAUAAAUAAUGUAGAAAGGCAAUCGAGAGGAUUCCUGACAGUAACCUUGGGCCUCCCAGCGUCUGUCUGUGUGUGUGUGUGUGUGUGUGUGUGUGUGUGUGUAUGUGUGUGUGUGUAUGUGUACGAAUGUACAUGCUCACACACACCAAGAUGAGGGUCAAUUUUAGGCUCAUAUGGCUCACACACAUGCAAACGUACAUUCAUGUGCAUUCUACACACACACAUACACACACUCCACAAAGGAAAAGGAGUAAGAUGGGUAGGGAAAUCUUCAAUGGAUGCCAUAGGGUCCAAGGAGCCGCAGUGGCGAAGGCAGCCAGUUGGAACAGGUUUCCCUAUAGCUGUCAGGAGGAACCAGUCCUAUGCCACCUUCAUCUGGACAUCUGACCUCCAGAAAGGUGAAAAUAAACGUCUGUUGUUUAAGCCCUGGGAAAGGGUGAUGGAGA